UACAGAGGUGGCAAGCGUUGUUCGGAAUUACUGGGCGUAAAGGGCGCGUAGGCGGCCUUCUAAGUCAGACGUGAAAUCCCCCGGCUUAACCUGGGAACUGCGUCCGAUACUGGAAGGCUUGAAUCCGGGAGAGGGAUGCGGAAUUCCAGGUGUAGCGGUGAAAUGCGUAGAUAUCUGGAGGAACACCGGUGGCGAAGGCGGCAUCCUGGACCGGUAUUGACGCUGAGGCGCGAAAGCCAGGGGAGCAAACGGG
rnacentral:rRNA from 1 species